rnacentral:lncRNA from 1 species
AAGCGAUAUGCUGGAGGAUAUCAGAGUAGAAAUAGUUCUCAAGGCAUGUGCCAUGGAGAAAUAUAAGAAUUGGGUAGGUGCCAGCUACAGUUGGUCUAGCAAUUAAUAAGGGUUUAGGAGGUGAAGAUUGAACAUUAUCUAAUACUGUGGACAACGUUCCUGGUUCAAAAACACUGAUUGUUUCCUGGUCACGAUAAUUAAAAGGUUUAUGAUUAGCUUCCUUUAGUACUGGCUUAGUAUCAGAAACAGAAGAAGUUAGAAGUAUUGCAAACAGAGUUAUGAGUAGUUUUGCCAUGUUCAUGAUACAGUGUUACUUGUGAGAAAGUAUAACCUAGAUCUCCCCCUUCUUAUAGAGUUGGAAAAUGUUAUUAAUGCAUACUUAAUUUAGGAUGUAAUUUACAAACAGCCAAUUCAAUGAUGAAAUGCUUAAAGAAAAUUACAGGAAAACUGCAAGUAUUCUAUAUAAUGAAGAAAAAACAUAAUUAUUAUUAUUUUUAUAUAAAAUUUUAAGGUUUGAGGAUAAAGUCAAUUGCAAUAAUUGUACUCGUGCUCCACAUUUUUUUACAUUGAUGGCGUGAUUCAUUCUAUUCACUUUAGGUGGAAAAAAGAAUUCAUUCAAUUUCGAUAUUAAAUGUAAAUAAUUCUUUUCCAUUUAUAAACUUUUAAUCCUAAAAACUUUACAGAAGAUGUGAAAUAUGAAUUGUGAGACCACCAAAUAAAAAAAAGAUGAAAGAGUCAUUUCAAUCAACGUCCCAGAAACAAUCUACUAAUAAUUUAGUGAAUUAUAUAUAUAUAUAUAUAUAUAUUCAAAUUGAAAUUGGCAUUCAAGUAAAAUCUUUUUAAUAAUACCAAGUAAAAUAAUAAAAAUUUUAGUUUGAUUUCUUCUAAAAAAUUUCAAAUCUCUAAUUUUACUUCUAAAAUUAUCUUCAAAAUUUAAUAAAAAUUUAUUUCAAGUACUGUCUUUUAUCUCUGGCAACUACUGUCUUUUUUAUCACUUUCCCAUCUCUUUUUUUCUUUUUCUUUUUCUUUGGAAGGAAACAUUUUCCUUUUUACUUUAGCAGCUUUUGUAACUUAUUAUUUUGCAAAAAGUACAAUAUAAUAUCAUCAAGAUACAUCGUUGCUAAAACACCGUCAAAUUAAUUUUACCUUUUUCAAAUUUAUACUAUAUAUAAAAAUGAAAAUAAAAGGAAAAUAAUGAAAUUUUUAAUAGCAUUCAUAAUGAAAUUUAAAAAUAUCUCAAGUCAAUUAUUUUUUAAGUCAAUCAUGUGUAAUCUGAUAAUCUUUUCAUUUAUGUGAGGAGUCUCGAGUUCGAAUCAACGUGCAACGUGGAACGCAUGUCACACAAAAAGAAUAGUAAUUUAUAAAUAUCAAUUUCCACGUUUUUUAGCACUGAAUUAUCAUACCGUUUAUGAUUUUUCAAACAAGGGGACAAAAGAUUCCAUAUCGAUUAUGAAUCACAAGAAAUUAAAAAAUCUGUUUCCUUGUCGUCGGUGUUAAUUUUCAGGAAUGAAAUGAUAUCCACGAGGAAACAAUUCAUUGAAUCGAAAGGAAAUAAUGUGUUUCAAAGCCUCCAAGUGACAAAGAUAGUAUGAACACGUUCAUGAAUCAUGGCCAACCAGAAAUAAGUCAGUACUAGAGAUAAAUAAACAAAUUUUUACGUCCACUCCAACAUUAUCUUUGCUUGAAAAUGUAUUAUAAUUUGUAAAAUAUGACAAUUAUAAUUUUUUUUUUCUAUAUUUAACAAGAAAGAUUGGUGGUUGUGACUGACCGGUGCAACCAGACAUUAGUAAAAAAAUUUAUUAUUUUAUUUAUACAAUUCAUUUUUAUAAGAAAAUCAUUAAAAUUGAAUAAAAGAUGAAAUUAUAAAUAAACAGUUAAUAUGAUAAUUCUAAAAUAACUUGAAAUAUUAAAAUAAUAUUAAUUCUAACUCAUAGUAAAUAAUUUACAUUAAGAAUUUCUACAUGAAAUUUAUAAUAAUUUAAUUCAAUAAAAUUAAUCAUGUGCUGAGAAAAAAAAAAAAAAAAAGUCAUUGACAAUAACAAAGAGUAGUGGGCUAGAAAUUUGGGACUCCCAUUAUCCAAAUAUGUACUAAGCUCUGAACUUUAUUUGAAGGCCAACCGAGCCCAGACUCAGGUUUUCAGCCUUUUCCAAGUAAACCCAACGGCUUAUUUGUCCAUGGCUAAUUCUGGGUUUAGCAGAAACCAAAACUUUGACUGCAAUGAGAGAAUUUUAUUUUUUGGAUAAAGAACUUGUUAAAAAAGAGAGUCACUCAGAGGAUUGAUGCUAAGUUCUAAUAAAGCAAUAAUCUUUUUUUAUUCGUAAGAAAGAAGAUGCCCAUUUCACAAAAACGACAAACCAAAAAUCCCCAUUUUAUUCUAAAUAAAAAGAAAAAUUUACCUUUUUGCGUGUUCUCUUGCUCUACGUACACGUGUUUUCUAGUGCUAUAGAAUAGAAUAAAAUGAAAGUGUAGGAUUUUUCUAGAUCUAGACAUUACAUGCUCCAUUCAGAAAGUAGAAUAAUGCAAUGCAGGAGUUUUUGUACAACCAUGUACAUUUGUAAGUAUAAUUAAUUAUAGUCAGAAAAAGAAAAAGGAGGAGAUAAUAAAGAUAAAGACCUUUCUCAAAUAUCGCCAAGGGUAUAUCAACUGCAAUCCUAGACAAGUCAAAGACCGUCUUUGUUGACCAAGACAACAGUAGCUGCUACCCAAACCCAAACCUCUUUCCUUUGAAGUUUGAACACCCCAGCAAGAACAUGCCGUUCAAAUUCCAGACACAAGGGUAUUAUUAAAACGCUGACGCAAUCGUCCUCAUUACAAACUUGACUCAAGUCAACUAAGUCUAUCCAUAAAGAGAUGACUAAGGGCCAAAAUAAGGGAGGAAAACUAAAUGGCCUAAAUAAUCUUACAAAAGCUGGGCUACUCCAUGCUCUCUGCUUCCCCACACACACAAUUUUUCCUUAAAAAAAAAAAAAAUGGCUGAUACAUCUGCAAGCACCUCCUUUAAAUGCACAAUAUUAAAUAAAUAUUGAUGAUAAAAAGGCCGCCAAUCCAAUAACAUUAACUAAGAAAGAAAUCAAGGCACAACCUAGGGGAAACCGAGUCGUUCUCCUUGGCUAAGUGAUGGACCGAAGGAUCACCGGGAACAUCAUGCUUUGGAGGAUCAAGUCGCCUGUACGGAACCAGUUCCUCAGGCGACGGGGUGAUCCGAGUGUCGGCGCUCGUUUCCUUCAAGGAAACAGGGGAAGUUGCAGGGGCCUGUAAAAUACAACAUCAAUUAGUAAAUAAAAACAUUGUUGCAUUAUAGAAAUCAAAAAAUAUAUAUAUAAAUAUGUUUGUAAUAAUAUAUAAUAGCUAAAAAUAAAUUAAUAGUAAGAGGGUGGUUAAUGGUUGGAAAACGCACGCGAUUAGGAUUAUCCGGGCGGGGAAUGUAGAGUCUUCUUCGAGGUUCGUUGCCAUUCCAAUCCGGCGUCGUUUCAAGAAGCGUUUUGAGAGAGAUCACUUGCUGAAUUGCUUGCGAUUUGUUCCACGACGGCCGUCUCAUACCUGCAGCAACACACCAUUCACUCACUGUAUUUUCACAUAUUCAAAUACCAAUAAAUACACGCAUAUAUACAUAGAGAGACCUUUCUCUUUGAGGUAUCGUCGGCAAUCUUCGCGAGUGAGCUGAGAAAUGUCGUCUUCAGUGAGUUGUUGGAGCGGUUUGUCGAGAGGAGGCCGGGAAAUGGUCUCCGCCGGUUGCAUGGUGUUGUAUUCCGGCCAGUAAUCGGGGAUGCCAAGCUCGAGAAGCAAGGAUGAUUACUGAGAUUUUUCACAGUUUCCACCAAUUUUUGGCGAUUUUGCGGUAAAUAAGAGUGUACUUUUUGAGCGUUUUGUUAAUGGGAGUGGGCGAGAGAGUGAGUGCGUAGAGGUUGAGUUGAGACUUGAGGGGCAUUUUGGGACACUGCGGCUCUCGCCUUUGUAUUUUUCUAAAGGCUUGUUCAUUUAUUUAUUUAUUACUUUGUUGGGGCUGCAACCCCAGGACGCCACGUAAUUGCUUUGACCUUUAUUACCAACAAAAAAAAUGUUUAGACAAAGAUUUAACCUUUCCAAACUACUUACAAUUCACCUAGUUCCAAAAAAAAAAAAAAAAAUCUUGUUUUUUGAUUAAAUGAUUUUUUUAUAAGAUAUUAGUACUAUUUAAUUUCUUAAUUCUGCACUAGAAUUUUUACUUUUGCUUUUUCAAAAUUGAUUUAUGAUGAGCUUACGUUUUUUGAGUAUUUUACUUUUAAAAGUAAGAGGCACAGGGUAUAUGAUAUGACUUUUUACUGUGUAAUAAAACUAAAGUGAAAGCUUAGAUUUAAGCCUUAACUUACACAGAAGCCUUUUCUCAGCUGUCGAAGAAAUUGGCUAUUCUAUUUAAGGUGUCAAGUAUUUGCAUAGGUUUUAUUUUCCUUUAGUUAGAAAGAAAAUUAAGUCAUUGAUGAUUUUUCCUUUUCUUUUAAAAAAUAAAAAUAUUUAUGUUAUUAGACAUUAACAAACCUAUUAUUUCUAUGUAGAUAUAUAUUUACUAUCAUUCCUAAUCACCAUCAUUCAUCACUACAAUCAUCACGAGUUACAGUAAAUAAUAUAAUUUAUUAUUAUAUAUAUAUGUAUUCUCAUAUUUAAUUAUACAUUUUCAUAAUAUUGAAUUUUAUAGAAUUUUAAAUAUUUUCAUAGUCUUAAAAUAUUGAAAAUAAUAAUUAUUUAACUAAUUUUUUAUGUUGCAGUCAAACAAAACAAAAGAGUUGUUUAUAAAGAUUUUCCAGAAAAAAUAUUUUUCCAUUAAAAAUAUGUUUUAAAGAUUAGUUAUUUUCCAUAGCCAUAAAAAAGUUUGCAAUGCUUCUAAAACUUUAAAGCAUAAUCCUUCUUAUUAUGACGAUAUAUUUAGAAAAAAAAAAAAAGAACAAAGUCAGAACAUUUUUUAAAAAACUCCUAGGUUUCAUUCGUUUAGUUCAUAGAUGAAGUCAAGAUUUGGUCUAGACAAGUGUUUUGCAAAAUUAUUUCAUAAUCAUGCUACCCAACAAACAACUUAAAUUAUUUUUGUUUUUGAAAAGAAGGAUUUAAUUACUUAUUUAUUCUUGCUAGGAUAUGGAUAGAUAUCCUCUGAUUUUCUUUUUUUUUUUUUUUUUUUCAAUUUCAUAUGAAUCUUUUUUUUAUAUAUAAAUCAUCCGUAUUCGGACUAUAUUAACAAAAACUGUUUAAUCCGGCUUGGAGUUUAAUCACAGUUGAAACUCUUCGCCCCUCCCUGUAGGUGCAUUUAGUAGAGAUUAAAUCCGAGAGCUCUUUCCACGUGCGUUUAGUAGGAUCAAACUCGAGAGUUUUUUCCAUAUGUCCGGUCUGCGCUAAAUAACCACAUAUCGUAAUUUUAUGUGAAUCUUUCUUCUAUGCUGUUAUUAAUGUCCGAACAAUUAAUUCAAAUUUCAUAUCUAAUUUAAUUGCAUAAGGGCAGUUUGCAUUUAUUUAUCAAAAGAAUUAUUCAAAAAAAUUAAUGCAAUACGAAGAAAGAAAUUUGAUUCCAAUAACGCAUGACAAAAAAUUCAGACAAUCACAAGCUCAUCUCUACAAAGAUAAAAAUAAAAAUUAACGAACCACCGAGUAGCUACGCUGUGGCACUUUCUUAAAGCUAGCCCACAUGAGAUCAACGUAUAAAGGAAACUGUGCUAUGGCGAAAAGGGUAACCGGCAAGCACGUUACUGCAUAAAUUGGAAACGCUGCAUAUUUCAAUUCAUCUCGAAGAACAAAGAAAUGUCCUGCACAAAACGACACCAACAGGGCCGCGAUGGACACAAACAACGACGUUAAACCUAACAAAAGCUUUUUCGGUAAGCUUCUUCCAAAAUCCUUCUCUUUGUAUCGUGAAGUCAGUAUUGCAAGAAACAUGACGACUGAUGUUACUGAGAAAGAAAGAGCCACCACAGAUGAAAUAGCGAAGGCGUUGAAUGCAGGGUGUCUUUCCAGCGUUGGCGUGCCUUUUUUUUCAUCGACUCCGCCUGGGACGGUGGCUGCUGUGGCGAAGGCAACCGUUGCUAUUAGUGCAGCCACAACAGAGCAUGAUUGGGAGGUGUUUAUUAACCAUUCGCCCCCGCUUUUCACGAGGUCCUUGUGUGUUUCACUGAAUAUGGCUUUUGCGGUUUUGUUGUCCUUGUUGUGGCGGGUGAAGAAAUGGGGUGGCAUGGACUGCUUAACAAACUGCAGUUUUUUCAACAUCGAUCAUAAGCUAUCUUAAUUAGAAGAAUGCUUGUGCAACGACAUGUUAUUAUGUGAUCUCUAUCUAUGAUUAGGAUUAUUAGACAUACCUCAUACCACUUGACCUCCCAUUGCAUUUGUAAAGCAGCGCCUGGAAUACGCCAUGGCGGAGAGUCUCCAAGCAUGGCAGCAAGGUGAAGAGCGCUAUUUCCUUUAUAAUCUAACUUACGAAAGAUACUGUCUCUCAUUACUUUCCUCUUCAGCAAAAGUUUAUAGACAUGAGGUUGCCUAUUUUCCACUGCUAAUAACACUACAUUCUUGUUUUCUGAGUUCACGUCAUGAAUUGCUACAGGAAACUUUUCCAAAAUUUUGUCUACCAUUUCUUCGAUGCCAUUUUUUGCUGCUAUUAAUAUGGCUGUCUCUUUCACCGCCACUUCAGAAGUCUCCUUCUUCUCUGCUGCCAUAAGUAUUACAUUUUUCAUGUCCAAGUUUUUAUCUCCCACAGGAAAAUAUUCUACGAGUUUGCACAACAACUUAUCAACACCUUCCUUUACUGGAAACAAUAUAGGUGUCUCUUUCUUUCCCGUUAGGUCUUUUUGCUUGGUAUUUACUGUCAAUGACACAUUGCAGUUUUAACUAAAUUGGUUUAUUAGAUGAUUCUAAGUUACACUAAACGCUAAUUUUAGACAUAAUAAUAAUAAGAAAUAAAUGUCAAUUUAAUCCCCGGACUUGUUUAACAGGUCAAAAAGAUCAUAUUUCACAUUUUGAGCCAAUUUAGUCCCUAAACUUGUAUAAAAUGAUUAAAAAGAUCCGAUUUCACUUUUUAGAUCAAUUUAACCCAUACUUAUGUAAAAUGAUUAAAAAAAAAAUCAUAUUUGACAUUUUGAAUCAAUUUAACUCUAAUUUAUCAUUGCAUUUAUAGUGUGAAAAUCAUUAUGAUUAAAAACAAAUCAUAUUUGACAUUUUCAGUCAAUUUAACCUCUAAUUAUUCAUUGUACUUACAAUGUGAAAAUACAUUUAUUAAAACUAUAAUUGGGAUUGAGUUGAUAGAUUUGUUACAAAAUUAAUUAAUUAUAAAAUGUAAGAAAAUGAUAUAUGAAGUAUAUUGUUUUUCUCUUUACCUUGAUUGAUGGAUUUGAGUUUAUAAAUAUGUAUUGAUUUGAAUAUUUUAAAAUUAACCUCUAUUACUGGGUUAUCGCUUAUGAAAUCUAUGUAUUUUUUAUGUUGAAUAAAUUAAAGUUAUAAUGCAUAUUUAUAAAUUUAUUAUAUUAUAAACAUGAUUUUUUUUUAUGAAUUUUAAAUUUAUAUUCAUACGUAUUGAAAAAAUUUGAUCUGAAUGUUUUUAGUGUAGGACAAAAUGGAUAAAAAGUUAAUCAUGUUAAAUUAAAUUAAUUAUUAAUUUAUAAAAAUCAAAACAAGUUCAAUGGUUAAAUUGGCUUGAAAAGUAAAAUUGAAUCUUUUUAAAUAUUUUAUAUAAGUUCAAGAGUUAAAUUGGCCCAAAAUGUGAAAUUUGAUCUUUUUAUUCCACUAAACAAGUUCAGAGACCAAAUUGACCCUUAUUCCUAAUAAUAACAAUAAUAAUUAAUUAAAGAAAUUAAUACCUUCAUCUUCCUGAGGAUAAUUUUUGGUUGGGCUGAUUUGGUCAGGGUUCUUGUCAUCAGUACUAUUUCCUGAAUGGGGACUUUCACCGGAGAAUGUAUAUUCAUACAUUUUAGCGCGUUGGAGAAGUUUUUCCAUGAUUUGGACAGACCAUAUAUGCUUCUUUUUUUUAUCCUCCAAUUUUCUUAUAUCCGAUGAACCUGAUAAUCAAUUAAUUAGUUAACCAUACAUAUUAAUAUUUAUAUUGUUAAGACUUUAAUAUGCAAAUGAAGGGAAGAAAAACAGACCUAAUCCAAGUACGACUAACAUUGCCUUGGACACAAAUUUGAGGAUGUCAAAGCACGUGUCGUAAUUUGAAGGAACUAAUUCAUGGCUUCGGCUUCUGGUUGCUACUCCAUUUUAUAAACAAGAUAUCCGAAUAUCACUCUUUUAGAGUUAUAAUAAUAGCAAUCAUAUGUUAAACAAGAUUAUUUAGGAAAAACAAUAGGAUUAUUUUAAUCUCACCUUGUUGGUUCUCUGCAUCCCCUCCCGGGCUUUCUGUUGGUGAUUUCUUCGUUUUUGAGAAAAGCUUCCUUCCUUCUAAUGUCAACUUCUUUGCUGGGAUGACAAAAAUGGCUACCAUCAUCAGUCAUACAGCAUUAAAGACUUUAUUAGCAGAAUAAUAACCUAAUGUUGGUUCUUAUUAUUGCAUAAUUAUAAGCAGACAGUUAGAUCAGUAAAAGUGAACUGCAUCAUCUGGAGUCGAAUUUUAUCUUUAAGUGACAAGUUUAUAACUUGAGUCAUUAAUGAGAGGCCCGACCAUAGAAAUAAGUCUAUAAUAAUAGUUCCAUAAAUGUUAGUAAAAGGGAAAUCAUUUUAUUUAUACUUGCCAAAUUCAAAUCCCUUCUUAAUCAAAAGGAAGAUAUCCAUGCACGUCUCGUAGUUUUCUGGAUAAGUGGGCUUGCUAUUGUUAUUGGACGCCGUCACUGAAAAUGAUUGAUUACUUAUCUCCUCCGCCUUAAGCUCCUCAACAAAUAUACCUAAUUUAAAAUAUACGAGAAAUGAAAAGAAAUGAAAUGAACUAAUUUGCAAGAAAUUAAAAACUCAUUAUUUAACAUAUAUAUAUACAUACAGUGAUUUAUCAUCUUCUGGUAGGCUCCAAGAUGGGUACCGCUUCUAAAGGCAUUAGGAUUACUUGCUAGGAGAUGAAGAGGUGUUAUUCCUUCUUCGUUGUGAGCGUUAGCAAGUUCUUCGCACAAAUGGAUUAUUUGAAACGCUAAAUCUGUCAAUUAGACGCAACAAUCCAAAUAUCUGAGCCUAAUAUAUAAUUGAGGAUCAGUACAUUUGUAUAAAAUUUUUGAAAAAUAGAAAAGUUACCAAAAAAUUCCCCUGCAAUGGCAACGUGAAGAAUGGUAUCACCGUCACAGGUUCUCCUGUAAUACGAACGACCUUGAUCAAGACCACAGAUACUAUGAAGGCAAAAAAAUGUUUCCUUUUUCCCAUGAAGAGCAGCCCAGAAUAAUGGAGUCUCGCCUUCCUCAUUUCGUUGACCAAUCAACGACGGUUCUAAAUUAGCAAUGGAGCUACACAUCCGAGCAGUCCCUACUGCGGCGGCCAGAUGUAGAGCUGUAUUCUUUUGCUCGUUAGCGAUUUCCAAAGCUACCUUUGCUUCAUCAGGAUGACUGCUCAUAAGCUUUACCAACUCUUCCACGAUAUCUUCUUGACCGUCGCGGACUGCAAGAUGUAACGACGUGUCGCCUGAUCGGGUAAUUUGUGCACUGUAAGAUUUUGGAUUAACUCUGUAGGAUGCAACCACUUUGUUCCAUUCACCUCUCAUUGCUGAUUUGAACAAGUUAGUCCUUAGAUUAUGCAUCUCAGGAUCGAUGUUAGUUGUUCCCAAAGGAGAACCCAUUUUUUCUGCUUCUUCCUCUUAUGCUGCAAUGAGUAGGUUGAUUAAAAUGGGGGAUGGGUAUGCAAUUAUAAGUAGUUAAGGUGCUUGUGGGACCUUAAAAGACUUGGAUUUCAAGUAUUGUGAGUUCCAACUCGUGAUCUUUGCUCUAUAGAGGGCAAUUUUCUGCACUAGAAUUUUAGCUUUUGCUUUUGCAAAAUUGAUAGGAAAGAAGAAGGAGACAAGUGCAAUUCACGAGUUUUGCUUUUAAAAGUAAAAGUCAUAGACAUACGACUUUUUACUGUUUCAUAAAACUAAAGGGAAAGCGUAAGCUUAAUCUACACAGAGACUCAAAAAUAAUGGCCACCCUAGCUAUACAUAUAUGCAUGCAAAUCGUCACGCCUCUUUGUUACUUUCAAAUAAACCUUACAAUGCUGAAAUUAAAGUGGUAUAUAUUCCAGAUAAUGUGAAUGAAAAAGAAAAAGUUACAAAGACAAAGUAAUAUUCGAUGUGCCAUAUGCAUUAUUUCCAGUCAGUCGGUAAAUUUCUAUUGCUGCUUCACUUUGUCUCAGAAUUCUUAAGUUGUCCUAUAAAUUCCUUUUAAUAUAAAUAAAAAUGAUAAAUUCUUGAACUGACAUAUAAAUGGCUUAGCUUAACAACUGUCAGAGAAAAAAAAAAAAAAAACCAUAUGCAGAGUUUAAACAUUCUGCCAAACUUCAGUUUACGUCAAGGGACCUGUCUAUUUAUUUCUUUUUAAGAUAUCGACAAAUGUUAUUCUCUUUUUUUACAUCCAUUAUUUGUCUCAUUUUAAUAAUUGUGUUUCAAAGACACAUUUACAGUGUGAAGUAUGGUCGUCGAAGAUGAUACAUAUGUAUAUGGGAUAGAGUUAAAAAAAAUUGUGGUGUAAGUUUCAAAUAUCUAUUAACACAGCACAAUUUGAUAACCUAAUUCAGUAUAAAGAGGUCUGUGAUUGAGAAAUCAUAAAACAUUAAUCAGUAACAUGCUGGUCGGAUAAAACGUGAGAGGGUAAAAAAUUUUGGAUAAAACUUUUUAGUUCAAAAAAUUUUGGAUAAAACAUUAAUUCAAUGAUUAGAAACACCUCCUUGAAUAUGAACCAAACAAAUCAAAAACAAUUUUUUAGUUCAGAGAAUGGUAUUUCUGAAUCAUCAAUUGAAAAAAAAAAAAUAGCACAAUAACGAUUAAAAAAAAUCAUUUUUCCUGUAUUUUGAUAUAUAUGUGCAAACCCCAUUCACCGCUAUAGGCAACUAUCUUUAGUACAUUGAUGUGGCCCUAAUAAUUUUUUUUAAAGAAUUACUCAUAAAAUAUUGAAUUUUUUUUAUUUUAUCCUCUAAUUUUUCAAUUUCACCCCUUUAAAUUUUUUUUAGCCCUCUAAUUUUAAUUUCCGGCUCUAUUGCUGGUGUGAUGCAACAGUUAUAAGGAGAUAUAAGGCUUGUUGAUUAACCCUCUCUUUAUUUAUACUAAAUAUAUUUGUUACACCACACAUUCCAUUAUUACAAGCAUCGAUGUGAAUAUACAUUUAUUAUAUUAUAUUACAUACUUAGCUAAAAAGGGCCAUGAUCAAUGAUGAGAGGGCCUCAGUCUAUGAAGAAAAUUGUGGAUGGCACAAACCGGAACUUUGUAAACUUGGGGGAUUUCCAAAUAUAGGCUCAGCCGAUGAACAGGUUGACAUCAUACUAGUGAGUUGAGCAUGUCCCCAGGGCCAAAGCCAGCAAAGCAAUUCUUGCGGACAGGCUUUCAGACUAUCCGGUGUUUUCUCAGUUAAGUAUGCAGGAUCAAACUCUACAUCAUCAAGCUUCACUGGCGAAACAGCAGAACGAUCACGCACGAUAGUCAAGUAGUCUUUUGUCUUACCUUGAAAAUUAUACUCCAAGAACGCCACAGUGAUGCCACCUACACCUCUCCUCAUUGGAGCAUUGGAACCGCUUCCGUUGGCAGUGCACAAAUCAUUGAAAAAUUGUACGACAAAAUCCGAAGUUAGAUCAUCAUUUAACAUGUCCAAGAGACCAUACUCAGUAAUAACAAAAUGGCCUUUGGGAGGUUUGGAUUUGGAGAAAAACUCCUUAUGGUUCAGGUUGUCAGGAGCACAGGCAGGCCAAAAAGGGAAAUGGGGAUGUUUUGGUUGAUCACCUAAUCCAGUUCCGAUUAUGGUAACAGGAACCGAUAAGUCAAACGUACCGUCUCUGAGAAUUAUAGGCUCACUACAUUCUUUGCCAAGCCCUGCAACAGGAUCUACUCCUAAUAGUGCUGAAAUAUUCACUUCCUGCAAUGAGGUCUUGGCCUUUCCAAGUGCAAGUGCAAAUGCUAUCUUUCCACCUCUACUGUGGCCUGCAAGAGCAAGUUUAUUCUGUAAGUCUCCUUUGACACUUCCAGGAAGUACAGACUGGAGCCCUGAGUACAACCAUUUUGCGACUUGUGCUGCCCACUCGAGUUCUGUAUCUCCACAUACUGGUAGUUUAGGUAUGUCCAAUUCCCAAGGAAAGAUAAUAUGUAACUUCUCCGUGCAACCAUAUAGCUGAGAAUUACGAUUUCAUGACACCAAGGAAAUUUUUAGGCAGAAUAACGUCAAGUAAAUGUGUGUGUGUAUAUAUAUAUAUAUAUAUAGGGUACAUGCAAAUCUAUAUUACAGAAGCGUCAAACAUGAACAAUCUAGCAAGAACAAAUGAAUAUAGAAAAUGUUUUGGUUAGGUUCACUAGGAACCUAGAAACGUUUACUGGCACAUGGACCCAGUGCGGGUUCAGGAUAGCAAGCAAUACUGGCACAUACCAAAUAUGCCAGAAAUGGGUUUAAAAGUUAAUUACAUGAAAUUCAUUAUGCCAAACAAGUUCAUGUACAUAUAGCUCUGGAAAUGGAAAAGAAAUACCUGAGGAGCGACGAGUAUAUAUCCAUGGGAAGCUAUAUGUUCAAAAAGUUGAGUGUAGUAAGAGUUUUGGAGGCAGGUGCCAUGUAGAAACAGAAUGACGGGAUAAGUGCCAUCCUCAACUGGUCUAACAAUUAAUAAGGGUUUAGGAGGCGAAUCGUCGCCAAGCUGUGAUUGAUUCACAUGACAACAUACUGUUGACAAGUUUCCUGUUUCGAAGACACUAAGUGUUUCUGUUGCCAAAGUGUGAGAUGCAAACAGCAUAACUAACAAAGUCACCAGCAGUUUUGCCAUCUCUUUCUCUGUGUAUGGGAGAGAAAGAGAGUGCUCUACCUGUUUUUAUAGUGCUGUUUCAUUUUUCUCGGCAUUCGUUUUUCCUCCCUACUUUUGGAAUUUAGUACAGAAGAAUCAACGAACUAUGCAUAUUGUUCACACUUCAAAGUUUUCACAUUUUCUUUCACCGGAUCGACAUGCAUUUCACGAUGGAAUCGGAAUUGAACUUGGAACUAUAAAAUAUCGUCAAGUAAAUAGUCCCAACGGACAAAACUAAUAAAAUCCUGCCGUGUGAACUGCAGAAAAUGGCACUGAAAUUUGUCUAUAAAUAUUUAAUAGGUCGACGACAAAUUUGUGGCAGGUAUAAGUAAAGCCAAUCAGCCUGCAAAACUCCAAAUCCAGCUGGAGCCUACUUAUUUAUUUCUCCCUGGUCCCUAGCAUAUCAUCUUCUACUUUUUUUACAUCCUUAAAAACUCUAACGGUUCAAUACUCAAGAUAAAAUUUGAUUUUUCAAGCCGAGUGUGAAUCUAUACAAUUUUUUACAUUGACAAAUGGUUAUUUUGCAUCAGAGCAUUGGAAUUCACUAUCAUAACAUCAUGAUUAGAUGUUAGGGCCUGAAGCUGGCACGAACUUAUCAUAUAUUUUUCUUUUUUGAUCAGCAAAUUUUUUUUCUUUGUAGCUUGAGCCACCCAUGUAAUGAGUCAAUAGUGAAUUGUCAUUUAGAAAAUUAUCACAAUUUGUGCUAAUUUUUGUUCUAUAUUUUCCAGUAAAAAGACUAUAACACUCUCUAAUAUUUAAAAAAAAAAAAAGAAGAUAAUCCUCUCAGUUGCACCAAAUAAGUUUGUUGGACUGACUUGAUAUAUGGAUGAGCUACACAUCGAAUGUAGGUAAGUCUUUCUCGUAUAAAAACCUACCGAUAUUUUACAGUAUUAAUUUUUUCUUAAUCUUGUAACAUUCAAAUUAUAUCUAACCAGAACUCAUUCAUCACUUCAAUAUUAUUUUUUAUACAUUUAUAGAACCGUAAUUUAAAAAACAAGAAUCAUAUGAAUUUUGGCUUAUUGAAAUGCAGGAUUACAAAUUCAACCCCUUGAAGAAAAUUAGUAAGAGAACAAUAAUUCAAUGUCACGUAUAUGAGUCGUCUGCAAGAGUUAAGCAGUCGCCAAAACCAAAUUAACCAUAGAAAAAGAAAGCAGAAGAAUCACAAAUUCAAGUCAUUCUGGCAGCUAAACUUGGGCAUGGUUUUAUGCUUCAGUGAAUUGAACAGGAUCAAGCUUGACAGGAGCAACAGAAGGUUCCUGCACAAUAGUCAAAUAGUCUCCACUUUGACCUUCAAAAUAAGCCUUCAAAAACGCCACAACGAUACCACCUACAGUUUUCCUCAUAGGCUCCUUAGGACUCUGACUACUCUUGCACAGAGAAUUAGUCAAUCUGCCUACUAAAUCCUUUAUAUUCUCAUUCAACAUAUCCAUAUGACCAUACUCUGCUGCAACAAAAUGGGUAGUAGGGGCUCUACACUCGUUGAAAAACUCUUCAUGGUUAACCUCAUUUGGCGCACAAGCAGGGCAAACAAGCCAGCAUAUUGGCUGGUUACCCAACCCUGUACCAAUCACAGUUACAGGUAUCGAUAAGUCUAGAGAUUGUGGCAGAUAUGUAAAGGUUUUGGGUAGAGUAGGGUUGUUUUUGCUCAUUCCUUCUACAGGGUCUAAAGCUGCUAGGGCUAAAAUUUUUAGUUUUAAAGGAAUGUUUGCAUAUCCAAGUGCAAGAGCAAAUGCUGUCUUUCCUCCUCUACUAUGGCCUCCAACAGAAAGCUUGUUUAGGUCUGCUUUAAUAUUUUCAGGAAGUACAGAUUGGAGGCCUGAGGCUGAGGGCAACCAGUUCAUAACUUCUGCUGCGAAUUCGAGCUCUCUUGGUCCACUGAUGGGUAGCAUAGGUAUCACUCGGUUUAUCAGGCAUGAAUACAACUGAGAAUUAAACAAUAUAUCGUUAUCAUAUAAAAUUCCAACAAAACAAGGAGGGGGAUCAUCCCUUUCAAUUAGAGACAUUAUGCACUAGAAGCCAAAUAUAUGUAUGUUAUAUACCUGAGGAGCUACAACUAUAUAUCCAUGAGAAGAUAUAUGUUCAAGAAUAUCAGUGUAGAAAUAGUUGGAGAGGCAGGUGCCAUGGAGAAACACAAAGACAGGAUAUGUGUCUUCAACAUUAAUUGGUGUAACAAUUAAUAAAGGUUUAGGAGGUGAAGCUGCAGACUGAUCUGAUUCCUCCACUUGAUAAUAUGUGGUGGAUAAUUUUCCUGUUCCAAAAACACCUAAACUACUAGACCUAGCUUCCAAUGAUGAAGAUGCUAGAAGUGUUACUAAGAGGGUUAUUAGCAGCAGUUUUGCCAUUAAUAUAGUUCUGUAAUUAAAGAAGAAAGUUAUGGAUGAGAAAUUUAAACUAAUUUAUGCUGUGCCCUAUAUAUAGUGUUGUAAGAGCUUACAAAAUUGAAUACUGAAUUUUCCAUAUAUGGCAUGCUUUUGUACGUAUCUGGAAAAAUUGGGUGGGAGAGUUCAUAGAUCUUUUCCUCGGUCUUUCAAGGAAUUACACAUCAUCUUUGCUGUCUAUUCCUCCAAACAAUUCAUUUGAACUUUCCAAACUUAAAGAUAUUCGUUAUUUAAGACGGAAGAAGAAGCUAUACACAGUAACUAACAAAAACUGAUAACUAAUUAGUAAUUAGUGAAGAGAAUAAUAAUUAGGAAAUUCUAAUAAUUAAAGAGUUAAUACCCAAGUAGAUUUUUAAUUAGAUUGGUAUUAAAUUGAUUUCAAACGUCCUGAUUUGUGAAUAUAUUGUUCAACAGAAUAAUAAUGUGGGUGGACCAAUUACCUGUUAGGAGACAUUUGACUCCUCAAAUUAGACUACAUGCCUAGAACCUAUUAGGCCCAUUCUAGUACUUUUCAAUGUUUAACCCAAAAAAAGCCCAAUCCACUACUUAGACAAGCCGUUGGCCCAAAAUCCUUACCGAAUUCAACAACACUAUUGAGAGAGAGUUCUAACUUCGGUAUGUAUUGUAGUAGAUAUCAGAUCAGAUCUGCUCUGCUCAUAGUUUUGGUAUCCCUACCAUUUAUCUAAAAGAGUCCAUUUAUAUAAUUAAGCAUUUGACAUUUAAUAUAAUUAAAUAUCAAAUACUCAAUUAACUAAAAAAAUAUAAAUGCCGACAAUAUUUUGAUGUAUAACUUGACCAUAAAAUAUCAUUUAGGCUGUAUUUUAUCUAGGAUUGAGAAAUUAACUAUAAGAUAAUGAAUUUAAAUUGUUAGAAUGGAAAUGAGUAACAAAAAUAGAUUAAAAAAAAAAAGAAAGAAUUAAAAUUGCAUAAUAGACUUAUAAUAAGGUUUCAUCAUAAUAGAAUUAUAAUAGAGUUAACACGAGGCAAUUAAGGGCCAAUUCUUCAAUUCUCACAUCAUUACUGGAAAUUUAUUAUGAUUCAGUGAAUGAUGUGUCUUAUUUAAUAGGCUUGUUAUUACACUUGAGCAUGGUUUUGGUGUUGCAUCUUGAACUGGACAGGAUCAAGCGUAACAGGAGCAACAGAAGGAUCUUGCAAAAUGGUCAUAUAAUCUCCACUCUCUCCAAACAGAUAAGCCUUCAAAAAAGCAACAAAAAUGCCACCAACAGUUCUCCUCAUCGGAUCCCUACUGUCUUUACUGUUCUUGCACAUUACAUUUGCCAUAAUCCCCAAUAAUUUAUCUUUUAGCCCAUCAUCUAUCACAUCCAUGUGACCGUAAUCUGUAGUUACAAAAUGGCUAACAGGAUUUUUGCACUCACUGUAAUACUCUACAUGGUUCAUUCCAUUUGGAGCACAAGCAGGACAAACCAACCAGCAAUUUGACUCGUUACCUAACCCAGAACCGAUCACAGCCACUGGAACCGAUAAAUUAAAAGAGUUAGGUAUGUAAGUGAGAACUUUUGGAUCAACGACGAUAUUUUCAGUCCCUUCAACCGGGUCUAGACCUAUUAAUGCUGAUAUGGUUACAGUUAAUGGUGUUUUAGCAUAUCCAAGGGCUAGAGCAAAUGCCAUCUUUCCACCUCUACUAUGGCCUGCAAUAGCAAGCUUGUUUAUGUCUCCUGUAAUAUUUUCAGGUAGAACAUUUUCUAAGCCUGAAAUCAACCAGUUUGCCACUUCCGCUGCAAAGUUAAGCUCGUCCGGUCCGCUUAUCGGUAAUAUGUUAAUUAACCACCUUAAGCAAGAAUAUAACUGCAAGGAAUUCGAUAUAAUCCAACUUCAGUAAUAUUAAGCAAAAUAUAGAUAGACAUGGAAAAAUGGAGAUAUACCUGAGGAGCGACCACAAUAUAUCCAUGGGAAGCGAUAUGCUGGAGGAUAUCAGAGUAGAAAUAGUUCUCAAGGCAUGUGCCAUGGAGAAAUAUAAGAAUUGGGUAGGUGCCAGCUACAGUUGGUCUAGCAAUUAAUAAGGGUUUAGGAGGUGAAGAUUGAACAUUAUCUAAUACUGUGGACAACGUUCCUGGUUCAAAAACACUGAUUGUUUCCUGGUCACGAUAAUUAAAAGGUUUAUGAUUAGCUUCCUUUAGUACUGGUUUAGUUUCAGAAAGAGAAGAAGUUAGAAGUAAUGCAAACAGAGUUAUGAGUAGUUUUGCCAUGUUCAUGAUACAGUGUUACUUGUG